rnacentral:piRNA from 1 species
UACUCACCUUAUAAGGUCAUUCAGCCUUUG